GUGCCGAAACAGGGAAAAUAGUAAGUUGCAAAUCAAACAACCUUAGUGUGUUUAGAUAAAACAUGACUUUAACAUUACUACUACUACUAAAUGGAGCCGGUUUAAUGGCGACUACCCUUGCGGAUAUUGCGCCAGAAUGCCUGAUUUAAAAACAUUUCAAAUAAAUGUUUUAAAAUUAUUAUUAAUUAUCUUGUGGUUAAU
rnacentral:lncRNA from 1 species